AGAACGAACGCUGGCGGCAGGCUUAACACAUGCAAGUCGAGCGCCCCGCAAGGGGAGCGGCAGACGGGUGAGUAACGCGUGGGAAUCUACCCAUCUCUACGGAACAACUCCGGGAAACUGGAGCUAAUACCGUAUACGUCCUUCGGGAGAAAGAUUAUCGGAGAUGGAUGAGCCCGCGUUGGAUUAGCUAGUUGGUGGGUAAAGGCCUACCAAGGCGACGAUCCAUAGCUGGUCUGAGAGGAUGAUCAGCCACACUGGGACUGAGACACGGCUCAGACUCCUACGGGAGGCAGCAGUGGGGAAUAUUGGACAAUGGGCGAAAGCCUGAUCCAGCCAUGCCGCGUGAGUGAUGAAGGCCCUAGGGUUGUAAAGACUCUUUCACCGGUGAAGAUAAUGACGGUAACCGGAGAAGAGCCCGGCUAACUGUGCCAGCAGCCGC
rnacentral:rRNA from 1 species